GUGUCAGCAGCCGCGGUAAUACGUAGGGGCCUAGCGUUGUCCGGAUUUAUUGGGCGUAAAGAGCUCGUAGGCGGUUUGGUUAGUCAGGUGUGAAAUCUCCACGCUCAACGUGGAGGGGCCACCUGAUACUGCCAUGACUUGAGUCCGGUAGGGGAGUGCGGAAUUCCCGGUGUAGCGGUGAAAUGCGCAGAUAUCGGGAGGAACACCCGUAGCGAAGGCGGCACUCUGGGCCGGUACUGACGCUGAGGAGCGAAAGCGUGGGGAGCAAACAGGAUUAGAUACCCCAGUAGUCC
rnacentral:rRNA from 1 species